UAUAUGAUAUAUAGAUUAUUGUAUUUUUUCAUAAAGAUAGCCUACAUUGCUGCGAUAUUAUGUUGUUACCAUGAACUAAGACUAAGAUAUCUUGAUUUUUUUUAAUAUCUUAGUUCGUGGUUGUUACGUGGCUCGUGAUACUAUUGUUGAACACAGUUCUUAUCUGGUACAAGUAGGUGCAUAGUGUAGGGUCUGUGUUCCAAACUCAAUUUUUCUUGGACACUGUUAUGUGCGUUGGAAAGAAAAUUUUUAUUUUCGAUAGUACACUCAAAUUUAGUCUAUUCUGUGGUACCUACACCUCUGCGAGACUGUCUCAUCAAGACUUCAAAAAUAUUUUAACAACAAUCAAAUCAACAAUUUUUUACCUACCUAGGUUUUACAUAAGCAAGCCAUACUCCUGCGGAGCUUACAUUAGACCUUUCCAUUACCUCUUCAUCUAACCGGUAUCCUGAUGACAUGGAACAAUAUGAUUCUGACGGAGUUGACGAUCGCCCAGAAAUACACCAGUGGUGCCAUUUCUUCGGGUGACUGUUGUUUCCAUAUAAAAUGUUCAUACGAAUAAAAGGAGAAGACGCACGAACUCGCCGAUAGUCGAUACCACGAACAUAGUAAUUAUGUAUCUUUACCUGACUUAAAAUGAGAAUUGGAAGAAAGAUUAUGGGUACCUACAGUACACACUGCACAUGUCUUGGUAGGCAUUUUUUUUCAGACACCAGAAAUGAAUACAACGUUUGGAAAUACGGGCUUGGGAGGGAUUCCAGUUUCUAGCCCUCGGGCCUCCCUGGAGCCUCCUUUAAUGCGACGAUAACAUCUGAAGCAGAGCAGCUGUACUGCAGUAGUAGAGCUCUCGAGAAUACGUCGAAAAAUCGAAAUUAGAUAGAAAACACGCACACUCGCGUAUGUACACACACACACAACAAACACAUACAAAUACUAUUAUUAUACAUUAUUUUAUUAUUUUAUUACGUUAUAUUUACAUGUGCAGCGUGAAAUAUCGAAGAAAAUCAAAAAUCAAAAUAACGUUCGUUCGAAAUACAUGUGUUGUGGGCGCGGCGCGGCUCGCCGUUGGGAGGAUCUACAAGUGUGCGUGUAUAUGUAUAAACGUGUAUGAAAUAAUGAUCGGUGGUCGCGGUGUGCGCCGGCCCAAUGCUUGGCCGCGUCUGUCCGCGCGACAACCGCUGGGGCCCGACGAAACUCGCCGUUUGGGCCGUCGUCACCGCUGGGAGUAGGGACCGAGUCGGGUGUGAGUGUGGGAGAGAGUGAGACGAAGUGAAAAAAAACGUAUAGGUAGGUACGUGUAUACCAGUUGCGGCGCGCGAUGGAGAGAAAAAAGUGAGAUACACGAAAUAGAAAAAAAAAGGGAAGGAAAUCUCGAAUGUUCUCGCGCUCCUCCUCCGCCGCCGCCCCGGAUCGCGCGUCGCGGGUAUCCCCCUUCAAUAAUAUACAUAUAAUAUUGUCGGACCGACAGCGCACUGGUCUGAGAGAGAAAAAACAACAACAAAAUGUUUAAAAAGAAAGAAAACACACACUCACACACAUGCG